AAGUCGUAACAAGGUUUCCGUAGGUGAACCUGCGGAAGGAUCAUUAUUGAUUUCGGGUAGGAAGAAAAGAGACUGUGUUGAUCACGGUCGUUCCUCUCCGAUGUCCGUUCUCACAUGAGGUCGGACGUGAAGAAUAUCCUGUGCACCUGUACCACCGCGUGACGAAUGUAGACUUACAUUUUUUCCUCUCCUUCACGGGAUUUGGUUGAAUCAUAAUCUAUAAAUAA
rnacentral:misc_RNA from 1 species